GACGUGACUUCAGAGUUUGAUCCUGGCUCAGGACGAACGCUGGCGGCGUGCCUAAUACAUGCAAGUAGAACGCUGAAGGAGGAGCUUGCUUCUCUGGAUGAGUUGCGAACGGGUGAGUAACGCGUAGGUAACCUGCCUGGUAGCGGGGGAUAACUAUUGGAAACGAUAGCUAAUACCGCAUAAUAGUAGAUGUUGCAUGACAUUUGCUUAAAAGGUGCAAUUGCAUCACUACCAGAUGGACCUGCGUUGUAUUAGCUAGUUGGUGAGGUAACGGCUCACCAAGGCGACGAUACAUAGCCGACCUGAGAGGGUGAUCGGCCACACUGGGACUGAGACACGGCCCAG
rnacentral:rRNA from 1 species